AACCUCUCCUUACGAACCUAGCUUUAACCUGAAAAUAUUUACCUACUGCUAAGUGACCCUUUAGGUGGGUUACAGUCAUCAUAUACGUGACUAUCCUGAACUGAUACUUUGCUUUGGGCCUCUUAUUCGCUCUUGGACCCUUAGGUUUGAGAGUAAACACACUUUUUAAACAGUGUGCUCGCAAAUUACACAACUUCAAGAAUUUGUGAUCUGUUGAUUAUUUAGGCCUCCAGCUACGUAGCUCUGUGGCUGUACACAAUGUCACCGUUAAAGGCACAAGCUACAAAAAAAGCCACGUGUGUUGUCUUUGAGAAGAAUGAUGAGGGACUAGUCUUUGGCAAGAUAGAACUGAUUCUUGUUUGCAACAGUUGUGUUUACUUUGUCACAGAGAAAUGCCAGUCUGAUUUCCUUUUGAUCAGGGGAUUUACUGCCUAAAGAUGGGCUCAGAGAACCCCAUUUCAAAUUAUUUCUGCCUCGAACAUGCAAGCCUGCUUGACUAUUACCCUUUGCCUGUGUACAACAUGUUUGGUCUGUCUCUAAUAGCCCUUCGCCACUCCUUUCCUUCAGAAUGUCUGAUAUAAGUGAGAGCAUCAAGGACGCAGUCAUUUCUGUCCUGCCAAGUGUGCCAGAAGAAACGAUCUUACACCAGGGAGUGGAAAGCAAAGAUGACUUGCAGUACAUAAGAGAACAGGAAAUUGCAGAGGUUAUUCGACCAAUUCAGUGCAGAAAACUUUUAAAUGCAUGGAAAUGAGCAGGUUUCUGCCUCUGCUGCUGACGUUGAGAGGUCCUUAACUUUGCCUGACAGUCCUCGAUUGAUUGUUCUCGAACUCGCCUCCGCAGGCGAGGACCCCGUGGCGACGGAACCUCUCCAAACUUCGCUAUCCCUCACUGACCCCCCUGUGACGACUUCACGGUCGCAGGAGGGCUAUGGAACUGCCAGUCUGCUACGCGGAAGGCUGACUUCAUUUCAGCCUACGCGUCCCUCUUCUCCCUACAUUUCCUUGCCCUCACUGAGACCUGGAUCACACCAGGCAACACUGCAACCCCUGCAGCCCUCUCCUCCUCCUUCUCCUUUCUCACGCCCUCCGCCCGUCUGGCCGUGGUGGGGGCACAGGGCCCCUGGGAAGCUUCCUCGAUGAGCUCAACACCCUGCUCAGCUCCUUCCCAGAGAAUGGUGUAGAGGGGAGUCAAACUGGGACCCAGAAAAGGCUGGCAUUUGAACGGGCCUGCAGGCUGGGACUCAUCCUGUACUUCAAAGAACCCAGAGCCGUGUGAUAAAACAAUAAGUUACUUGGACUUCCUCGGGAUAAGCAGGCCAUUUGGCUCUCUGGAAUGUUGCCAUCUGGACACAUCUAAGAUAAGGGGAACUAGUCUCUUUGUCUAUGGUUGUGGGGGUAUGUGUGUUCGGGCCAUUAAGGGUAAAAAGAUCAUCAGGCCUCUGGACAAAUGGUGGGGCAACUACGCUUGACAGUUCCACAGUGCCGUUAUGUGGGCCCCUCUAUCAUUACACUUUUUAUUUAUUUUCUGGAUCUGGACUCUAAACCAUCUGUUUAUCAUAUUUACAAACCCCGGAAAACCUUACAAACCAUGCACGUGUUUUCAUUAUAUUACUGUAUUAUGCCUUAUGUAAUAAUAACAUGGAUUGCAUGUAAAA